rnacentral:rRNA from 1 species
UGGGGAAUUUUGGACAAUGGGCGAAAGCCUGAUCCAGCCAUACCGCGUGAGUGAAGAAGGCCUUCGGGUUGUAAAGCUCUUUCAGCCGGAAAGAAAUCCUGCUUACUAAUACUAAGCGGGGAUGACGGUACCGGAAGAAGAAGCACCGGCUAACUACGUGCCAGCAGCCGCGGUAAUACGUAGGGUGCGAGCGUUAAUCGGAAUUACUGGGCGUAAAGCGUGCGCAGGCGGCAUGAUAAGCCAGAUGUGAAAUCCCCGGGCUUAACCUGGGAACUGCAUUUGGAACUGUCAAGCUAGAGUGUAGCAGAGGGGGGUAGAAUUCCACGUGUAGCAGUGAAAUGCGUAGAGAUGUGGAGGAAUACCGAUGGCGAAGGCAGCCCCCUGGGCUAACACUGACGCUCAUGCACGAAAGCGUGGGGAGCAAACAGGAUUAGAUACCCAAGUAGUCCCUGAGCGGGCUGGCAAGGCGCAU